rnacentral:rRNA from 1 species
GGAUACUGCCAGUGGACAAACUGGAGGAAGGCGGGGACGACGUCAAGUCAUCAUGGCCUUACGGCCAGGGCUACACACGUGCUACAAUGGUCGGUACAAAGGGUUGCUACACAGCGAUGUGAUGCUAAUCUCAAAAAGCCGAUCGUAGUCCGGAUUGGAGUCUGCAACUCGACUCCAUGAAGUCGGAAUCGCUAGUAAUCGCGGAUCAGAAUGCCGCGGUGAAUACGUUCCCGGGCCUU